rnacentral:rRNA from 1 species
UACGUAGGUGACAAGCGUUGUCCGGAUUUACUGGGCGUAAAGAGCGCGCAGGCGGUCGAUCAAGUCGAGUGUGAAAGCCCCCGGCUCAACCGGGGAGGGUCGUCGGGGACCGCACCGCUUGAGGGCGGUAGGGGCCGGUGGAAUGCCUGGUGUAGUGGUGAAAUGCGUAGAGAUCAGGCAGAACACCUGGGGCGAAGGCAGAUCUCUGGGCCGUAACUGACGCUGAGGAGCGAAAGCAUGGGGGAGCGAACAGGG